UACGGAGGGUGCAAACGUUGCUCGGAAUCAUUGGGCGUAAAGCGCACGUAGGUGGCUUGUUAAGUCGGGUGUGAAAUCCCUGGGCUCAACCCAGGAAGCGCACUCGAAACUGGCGAGCUUGAGUACUGAAGAGGGUCGCGGAAUUCCCGGUGUAGAGGUGAAAUUCGUAGAUAUCGGGAGGAACACCAGUGGCGAAGGCGGCGACCUGGGCAGAUACUGACACUGAGGUGCGAAAGCGUGGGGAGCAAACAGG
rnacentral:rRNA from 1 species